AUUGAACGCUGGCGGCAUGCCUAACACAUGCAAGUCGAACGGCAGCACGGCAGUAGCAAUACUGUGGGUGGCGAGUGGCGGACGGGUGAGGAAUACGUCGGGAUCUGCCCAGUCGUGGGGGAUAACUAGCCGAAAGGUUAGCUAAUACCGCAUACGACCGAGAGGUGAAAGCGGGGGACCGCAAGGCCUCGCGCGAUUGGAUGAGCCGACGUCGGAUUAGCUAGUUGGUGGGGUAAAGGCCCACCAAGGCGACGAUCCGUAGCUGGUCUGAGAGGAUGAUCAGCCACACUGGAACUGAGACACGGUCCAGACUCCUACGGGAGGCAGCAGUGGGGAAUAUUGGACAAUGGGCGCAAGCCUGAUCCAGCAAUGCCGCGUGUGUGAAGAAGGCCUCGGUUGUAAG
rnacentral:rRNA from 1 species